CAUUGAAACACUGGUUCUCGUACAAUCACCGAAGUUAAGCAACGUAAAGUCUGGUUAGUACUUAGAUGGGCGACCACUUGAGAAUACAUGGUGCUGUA